rnacentral:miRNA from 1 species
CUGGCGCCCCUACCCCUCCCCCCGUGCUGCCUUCUGCAUUGGUAAUGCAGGGAGGGGACAGGCAGGAGCUGGUGCUGGGAGGG